rnacentral:rRNA from 1 species
UACGGAGGAUGCAAGCGUUAUCCGGAAUUAUUGGGCGUAAAGGGUCCGCAGGUGGCAAUGUGUGUCUGCUGUCAAAGAAUGAGGCUUAACCUCAUCAAGGCAGUGGAAACUACAUAGCUAGAGUACGGUCGGGGUAGAAGGAAUUCCCGGUGUAGCGGUGAAAUGCGUAGAGCUCGGGAAGAACAUCGGUGGCGAAAGCGCUCUGCUGGACUGCAACUGACACUCAGGGACGAAAGCUAGGGGAGCGAAUGGG